GGCACUCCGGAGUGAGAAUGACGCCGAAUCUGUAUAACAUCGCCCUAAACUAAAAGAUGCCAUCUUUUAGAAGAAAAAGAGCCACGCUGGUUUACAGAGACCUGACUAGAGGCGUGAUAGCGAGUACACCCCUGCCAUCAACUUGGAUCGUCUAGGGAGUACUGGGAGAACAGAGCUGUUUCCUUCUGCAGCAGAAGUUGUGCCCAGCUGCAGUGAUGCACCUCCUCCAUCAGAAAAAAUAAAUAAAAGGAAGGCAGUGAUGUUGAGGGAGCUACUGUACAUGCCUGCAGUGGAGCUGGAAUGUCCUCCAACCAACUCCAUCUGCAUUGUGUGUGUAGUUUUGGAGGAGGCUGAGCUAC
rnacentral:lncRNA from 13 species